rnacentral:rRNA from 1 species
UACGUAGGCAGCGAGCGUUUGUUCGGGAGUUACUGGGCGUAAAGGGUGUGUAGGCGGUUUUCUAAGUUUGGUGUGAAAUACUCCCGGCUCAACCGGGAGGUGCGCCGAAAACUGGGAGACUAGAGGUGCGGGAUGGGAGAGUAGAAUUCCUGGGUGUAGCGGUGAAAUGCGUAGAUAUCAGGAGGAAUACCGGUGGUGUAGACGGCUCUCGUGGACCGCCACUGACGCUGAGACAACGAAGCGUGGGUAGUAAACAGG